rnacentral:rRNA from 1 species
UACGUAGGCAGCAAGCGUUGUUCGGAAUUACUGGGCGUAAAGAGUGUGUAGGCGGUGCUCUAAGUUUGGUGUGAAAUCUCCCCGGCUCAACUGGGAGGGUGCGCCGAAAACUGGAAUGCUUGAACGUGGGAGAGGAAAGCGGAAUUCCUGGUGUAGCGGUGAAAUGCGUAGAUAUCAGGAGGAACACCUGCGGUGUAGACGGCUUUCUGGACCAUUGUUGACGCUGAG